rnacentral:sRNA from 1 species
CAGCGCCGUCCCGUCCGACAGCCAGGCCCGGGAGAAGUUAGCACUCUACGUAUAUGAAUAUCUGCUCCAUGUAGGAGCUCAGAAAUCAGCCCAAACAUUUUUAUCAGAGAUAAGAUGGGAAAAAAACAUCACAUUGGGGGAACCACCAGGAUUCUUACAUUCUUGGUGGUGGUAAGUAUCCUUUAUUCCAUUUUUACUGGCUUGAUGAUGUAUGUCAAUAGGCCUGUACUAUACCUGUUUAUGAUUUCAUGCUUCC